rnacentral:rRNA from 1 species
UAAUACGGGAGGCAGCAGUGGGGAAUAUUGCACAAUGGGCGCAAGCCUGAUGCAGCCAUGCCGCGUGUAUGAAGAAGGCCUUCGGGUUGUAAAGUACUUUCAGCAGUGAGGAAGGUGGGUAUGUUAAUAGCAUACUCAUUUGACGUUAGCUGCAGAAGAAGCACCGGCUAACUCCGUGCCAGCAGCCGCGGUAAUACGGAGGGUGCGAGCGUUAAUCGGAAUUACUGGGCGUAAAGCGCAUGCAGGUGGAUGAUUAAGUCAGAUGUGAAAGCCCGGGGCUCAACCUCGGAAUAGCAUUUGAAACUGGUCAUCUAGAGUACUGUAGAGGGGGGUAGAAUUUCAGGUGUAGCGGUGAAAUGCGUAGAGAUCUGAAGGAAUACCGGUGGCGAAGGCGGCCCCCUGGACAGAUACUGACACUCAAAUGCCAAAGCGUGGGGAGCAAACAGGAUUAAAUACCCUGGUAGUCCACGCCGGUAACGAUGUCUACUUGGAAGUUGUGGCCUUGAGCCCUGGCUUUC